UCUCGGUGGCGGUGAUGCAAGGACGCGGCCGUUUUGCGUUGUCUGCUGCAGCGCUGUCUGCAGUUGGAGGCGCUUCCUGGUCUGGCGUUCUUUGUUUGCAAGCAUAUGACGAGCAGCGCUCAAGCUAAAGCCGUCGGAACACAUCUUUUUCAGCGGCUGAAGGAAGAGGUCAGCGAUCAGAACAAGAACUCGUCAAGUUUCACCUGUUUCUCCGGCUCCGACCUGAAUUCAACGACUGUAGCAGGCUCUCAACGUAAGAACUACGCCUCACACUUUGGAGACUACUGGUGGCCCACAUCAAGCACGUCAGGGAGUCAAGACAAAUUCACUUAAGGAGUUUUCGCUGAAUUCCCAAGGCGACGACUCGCCCCAAGAGUUGCCACGAAAUAAAGUUUCUUUGGCUUGCACAG
rnacentral:lncRNA from 1 species